UUUUACCAGCCGAAUAUGAAGGCUUGAGAAGCCAUGGAAGAAGCUUCCAACUUUCAGCUAAUGCAUGGGUUGCCAGGUUAGCUCGGGUUGGAGGCCGUCAGAGAUAUUAUCACAUUGUCAAGUCUACGCUAUCGAUGUAAGUAAAUCUUAGUGUUUCGAGUCUAUGGCAUGUAUAGGGUUGUAAAGUUGAGUAAGUAAAUGAUACAAGACUAAGAUAUUGGUAAAUAUUUAAUAAUGCCUCAUGAAUAUUUUGGGCCUUGUAAGCCCGAUUAAA